rnacentral:rRNA from 1 species
AGUGAACGCUGGCGGUAGGCCUAACACAUGCAAGUCGAACGGCAGCACAGUAAGAGCUUGCUCUUACGGGUGGCGAGUGGCGGACGGGUGAGGAAUACAUCGGAAUCUACUUUUUCGUGGGGGAUAACGUAGGGAAACUUACGCUAAUACCGCAUACGACCUACGGGUGAAAGCUGGGGAUCUUCGGUCCUUGCGCGAUUGAAUGAGCCGAUGUCGGAUUAGCUAGUUGGCGGGGUAAAGGCCCACCAAGGCGACGAUCCGUAGCUGGUCUGAGAGGAUGAUCAGCCACACUGGAACUGAGACACGGUCCAGACUCCUACGGGAGGCAGCAGUGGGGAAUAUUGGACAAUGGGCGCAAGCCUGAUCCAGCCAUACCGCGUGGGUGAAGAAGGCCUUCGGGUUGUAAAGCCCUUUUGUUGGGAAAGAAAAGCAGCAGGUUAAUACCCCGCUGUUCUGACGGUACCCAAAGAAUAAGCACCGGCUAACUUCGUG